rnacentral:rRNA from 1 species
UUGCUCUUCAACGAGGAAUGCCUAGUAAGCGCGUGUCAUCAGCACGCGUUGAUUACGUCCCUGCCCUUUGUACACACCGCCCGUCGCUACUACCGAUUGAAUGGCUUAGUGAGGCGUUCGGACUGGCCCAGGGAGGUCGGCAACGACCACCCAGGGCCGGAAAGUUCGUCAAACUUGGUCAUUUAGAGGAAGUAAAAGUCGUAACAAGGUCUCCGUAGGUGAACCUGCGGAGGGAUCAUUACCGAAAGGUGCUCUGUUCUCGCCCUCCCGUCCGUGGUUAACGCCGCCGGCGGGUGCGGCCGGGAACCCAUCUCUUCAAACCCCAUGUUAUCCGACACCGUUGCCUCGGGGGCGACCCGGCCGUUAGCGGUUGGGGCCCCCGGCGGACCGUCAAACACUGCAUCUGUGCGUCCGAGUCCAAUGAUAAAUCAAUCAAAACUUUCAACAACGGAUCUCUUGGUUCUGGCAUCGAUGAAGAACGCAGCGAAAUGCGAUAAGUAAUGUGAAUUGCAGAAUUCAGUGAAUCAUCGAAUCUUUGAACGCACAUUGCGCCCUUCGGUAUUCCGGGGGGCAUGCCUGUUCGAGCGUCAUUUCACCACUCCAGCCUAGCUGGGCCUUGGGCGUCGCCGUCUCGCGGCGCGCCCCAAUGUCUCCGGCUGAGCCGUCCGUCUCUAAGCGUUGUGGCAACCCAAUUCGCUUGUGGGAUCGGGAGGUUCGACGCCGCUAAACACCACACAAGGUUGACCUCGGAUCAGGUAGGGAUACCCGCUGAACUUAAGCAUAUCAAUAAGCGGAGGA